rnacentral:rRNA from 1 species
GACGAACGCUGGCGGCGUGCUUAACACAUGCAAGUCGAACGGUGAAGCGCCUUCCUUUUUGGUGGGUGUGGAUGAGUGGCGAACGGGUGAGUAACACGUGAGUAACCUGCCCCCUUCUUCUGGAUAACCGCAUGAAAGUGUGGCUAAUACGGGAUAUUCUGGGUCUGUCGCAUGAUGGGUCUGGGAAAGAUAUUGUUUCGGUGGGGGAUGGGCUCGCGGCCUAUCAGCUUGUUGGUGGGGUGAUGGCCUACCAAGGCGGUGACGGGUAGCCGGCCUGAGAGGGUGGACGGUCACACUGGGACUGAGACACGGCCCAGCCUCCUACGGGAGGCAGCGGUGGGGAAUAUUGCACAAUGGGCGCAAGCCUGAUGCAGCGACGCCGCGUGAGGGAUGGAGGCCUUCGGGUUGUGAACCUCUUUCGCCAGUGAAGCAGGCCUGCCUCGUUUGUGGGUGGGUUGACGGUAGCUGGAUAAGAAGCGCCGGCUAACUACGUG